UAAUACGGAGGGUACAAACGUUGUUCGGAAUCACUGGGCAUAAAGCGCGCGUAGGCGGUCUACCCAGUUAGGUGUGAAAGCCCUCGGCUCAACCGAGGAAUUGCAUCUAAUACUAGUAGGCUUGAGGAUGGUAGGGGUGUGUGGAACUUCAGGUGGAGCGGUGAAAUGCGUAGAUAUCUGAAGGAACACCUGUGGCGAAAGCGGCACACUGGAUCAUUUCUGACGCUGAGGCGCGAAAGCUAGGGUAGCGAACGGGAUUAGAUACCCCGGUAGUCCUAGCCGUAAACGAUGGGCACUAGGUAAGGGGAGAACCUGUUUCUCUCUUUGCCGUAGCUAAUGUGUUAAGUGCCCCGCCUGGGGAGUACGCUCGCAAGGGUA
rnacentral:rRNA from 1 species